rnacentral:lncRNA from 10 species
GUCCAUGGGCUAAAUUUCUAAGUCUUCCUCAUGUCCUUUGAGGCCCUUCAAAACCAGACCCUGAAGGGGUGGCCUGCCCCUCCACACCUGUGGGUGUUUCUCAUCGGACUGACAAAAGAGAGAGACACAGAAACAAAGUAUAGAGAAGGAAAAGUGGGCCCAGGGGACUGGUGCUCCAGAGGACCCGCGAAGGCACGGGUCUCUGAGUUCCCUCAGUAUUUAUUGAUCAUUAUCUCUACCAUCUCUGAGAGGGGGUUGUGGCAGGACAGUAGGGUAAUAGUGGGGAGAGGGUCAGCAGGAAAACAUGUGAACAAAUGUCUCUGUAUCAUAAAUAAGGUUAAGAAAAAGGUGCUGAGCUUUGAUGUGCACAUACAUAAACAUCUCAAUGCAUUAAAGAGCAGUAUUGCCACCAGCAUGUCUCACCUCCAGCCUUAAGGCGGUUUUCUCCUAUCUCAGUAGAUGGAACAUACAAUCGGGUUUUACACCGAGACAUUCCAUUGCCCAGGGAGGAGCAGGAGACAGAUGUCUUCCUCUUAUCUCAACUGCAAAGAGGCCUUCCUCUUUUACUAAUCCUCCUCAGCACAGACCCUUUACAGGUGUCGGGCUGGGGGACGCUCAGGUCUUUCCCUUCCCACGAGGCCAUAUUUCAGACUAUCACAUGGGGAGAACCCUUGGACAAUACCUGGCUUUCCUAGGCAGAGGUCACUGUGGCCUUCUGCAGUGUUUUGUGUCCCUGGGUACUUGAGAUUAGGGAGUGGUGAUGACUUUUAACAAGCAUGCUGCCUUCAAGCAUUUGUUUAACAAAGUGCAUCCUGCAUAGCCCUAAAUCCAUUAAACCUUGAGUCGACACAGCACAUGUUUCUGUGAGCACAGGGUUGGGGGUAGGGUUACAGAUUAACAGCAUCUCAAGGCAGAAGAAUUUUUCUUAGUACAGAACAAAAUGGAGUCUGUUAUGUCUACCUCUUUCUACAUAGACACAGUAACAGUCUGAUCUCUCUUUCUUUUCCCAACAUUUUCCCCUUUUCUUUUAGACAAAAACACCAUUGUCAUCAUGGCUUGUUCUCGAUGGUCGCUGUCUCUUCGGAGCUGCUGGGUACACCUGCAGACUGGGGCCUGCCUCUGGGGAAGGAUUAAUAUGAAAUUUACAAUAGUAGUACUUCCGAUGGUCUUAACCCACGUGACAGGGUUAAGAUUUGUGAGGCCAUCAGCAACUCCCGCGAUUACCUCAGUUCCUGGUACCAAAUUUAAAUGGGCUUUUGAUGCUUCGAAAAUUUGUUCUUUUAAUUUGGAAAUGUCUAAAGUGGGAUUAUCUUCUCUUCCCUGCAGAUGGCGUCUAACCAUGUCCCAGUGAUGCUCAGACUCAUUAUAAACUCGGGGUGUAAUACAAAAAUCUGAUGUAUCCCAGUCACACUGUAACUGGAAACGAUGUUCUAGGCUCAUGAGCCUAUCUCCCAUCAGGAUUAUCCAUCCAUGUGACUGCCUGAAUUAAGGGCGGGAAAGGCACAUAGGCCCAGUAGGUAUAAUUAGCUGCAGCUGCUCCUGCAGGCAUGGGGAGACUUACCACAGUUGAUACAAUCAUCAAAGCUGCAAGCAGCAUGUUCUCUGGAGUUUGUGUCACCUUUGUGUUCUCUAGGCUUUUUUUUUUUUAGUUAACUGUGUCAGCUUCUUUAAUUGUGCCCAAGUCGGCGCCUCCACCUUCUUGGUGGAUGGCAACUUCAUCUGUUCUUCUGACAUCACCAUUCUGUUCAUCUUGUGAGUUGAUGGUGCUUGAUUGCAGUGUCUCCGUCUCCGUGGAGGCGCUUUUCUUUGCAUCUCCAAUGGGUUCAUUGUAGAACUUCAAAUGUCUAGUGGGUAUCCAAACAGGAAGCUGAUUUUCUCCUGGUGAAACACAAGCAAAACCUCUCCCUUACGUUACCACCUUCCCUAUUUCCCAUGUCUUAUUUUUGUUGUCUUUCCACCAAAUCAGUUUUCCUUCAUAUGGGCUCUUCUUUUUAGUAAGAUGUUGUUCUGCAGAAGUAGUAGUCUGAUUUCUAUAAAUGUUUAAAAAAUUUAAAGUAUAGAGGGCUAGAUUAAGUUGCAUCUGAGGAGUGGUACACUCCUUACUGUCUUCCCCUUCUUUCUGUUUAACUAAUUGAGUUUUGAGUGUUCUAUUAGUUCUUUCAACUAUGGCCUGUCCUUGGGAAUUAUAGGGAAUUUCUGUUGUAUUUAGGUUGCAGUGAGCUGAGACUGUGCCACUGCACUCCAGUGUGGGCGACAAAAGCGAAACUCCUUCAAAAAAAAAAAAAAAGAAAAUCAUCCAUCCAUUGGUUCCUCGCUGUCCAUAGGCUAAACUUCUAAGUCUUCCUCAUGUCCUCUGAGGCCCUUCAAAACCAGACCCUGAAUCCUUCCUCACCCUGCAGCCUCAUCUCUCUCUCUUUUUUGUCCAGGUCCUAAUCCCUGGAACCUGUGAAUAUGUCACCUUACAUGUCAAAAGAACUUUGAAAAUGUGAUUAAGCUUAAGGAUGUUGGGAUGAGGAGAUUAUCUUGGAUUAUCUGGGUAGAUCCAAGAGCCUCAUCUCUUGAUACUCCCUUUCCCAACUCCUCUUCUUCAUUUUUAAAAAAAUUAAUUAAUUUUUUAUUUUUUUUGAGACAGAGUUUCGUUCUUGUUGCCCAGGCUGGAGUGCAAUGGCUCAGUCUCGGUUCACUGCAACCUCUGCUUCCUGAGUUCAAGCGAUUCUCCUGCCUCAGCCUCCCGAGUAGCUGGGAUUACAGGCAUGUGCUACCACGCCCUGGUAGUUUUGUAUUUAUUUAUUU